GCAGGAAAUUCACUAUCAGCCUUCAGUGGGAUUCCCUAUGAAGUUGGGCAAAGCUUCUGGAGGGCUUAUAUAGCACCAGAGUACCAGCUUUGAUCAUCAGUGCAACUGGUUCCUCCUAAGACAUCCCAACCAGACUGGUCCUUAGUCUUUUCACCUCUGGCCCAUGUGCCUGGCUCCAGCCUCCCUGGGUACCACACUGCCACGUCUCUGAGGGACCUCUUCAGAAAGAACCUUCGAUUUCAAAGAUUUUCGGCUUCCCGCCUUGCUGCUUAUUCAGCUAAUAUUCUUUAGUGUAACUGCAGGGACUGGGAAACUCUUGAAAGAAUUCUGUUCCGAUUGGGCCACACCUGCGUGGGGACUGUUUAUUAUGCAGUAAUAGGUAACUGCCAAAGUUUUUUACUCAUCAAAUGGCCUUUUUAAUUUGGUGUAGAGCUCACGGCUUCUGCAGCGGGGAAAUGUAUAAUGAGGCUAAUACACAGCUUGGGUAAGAUACGCCUCCUGAUCCUAUACCUCCAUUUGCUCAAAGUCCCAUGUCAGUCAAGCCCCCUUCCAGACUAGCGGGGGCACAAAGGCUCUGGGGUCUGGGCCAGGCUUGGGCUCCAGAGGUCACUUGUCCUCAGGCUGCAGAGUACUCACCACCCUGUUUGUUUGGAUGGGUUCGUUGUUGUUAAAACAUAAGAUCUAACAUUUUGACCAUUUUUAUGGGUUUAGGACUGUGACAGUGAGUACAUUCACAUGGUUGUACAACCAUCACUGCUGUCCCUCUCCAGACAAUGUUUUAUCUUCCUAAAUGGAAACUCCACUCUCCCCCCCAAGCAAUAACUCCCCAUUCUCCCCCCGCCCAGCCCCUGGCAAUCACCAUUCUACUGCCUCUCUCUUUGAAUUUGCUAGUCUACAUGUUUCAUAUCCGUGGAAUUCCACAGUCUUAUAAUUCACUUCUUUACAUGUUGAAUGUCUGUCUCCCCCUAUAAACUUGGAGGAUCUUGAAACUGAAACUUUUUAUUCUUCUUUGUUUUUUUUUGGUUUUUGUUUUUUUUGGGGGGGGUUGUCAUUUAAAAGUUUUCAAAGUAUUUUUUAAUAUUUUACCAAUAUGCUCACUCAGUUCCUAAUUAUUUUUGUUUGUUUUUAUUCUUUUUUUUAAUAUUAUUAUUCUUCGAAUCACCUUUACCCCUCCCAGUUGUCUGGCAUAUAACAGAUGUCCAGUAAGUGUUCAAGAAACCUGUGUGUGUGUGUGUGUCUGGGUGUGUGUUUGUGUGUGCGUGUGUGCGCGCAUGCAUGUGGAUGGAUAGACGGAUGGAUGGAUGCAUUAUCAGUCUGGCUGGUACUUGACUUAGACAAGUCCGCCCCACCGAUGAUGAGCAGCAGACAAAGGGACCGUCUCUACCUCUUCCUUAUCUACCCAAGAGCACUUACCACUCUGCAGACCCAGUAAACGUGACACAAUCCAUGCCUGUAAGAAGCUCAGAAUCUAACAGAGGUGCACAGAACCAUCUAUGACUUUAAUAAGAACCUCUUGUGACACAGCAGGUUAAAGAUCCGACAACAAUCUCAUCACAGUGGCUUGGGCCACUGCUGUGGUGUGGGGUGUGGGUUCCAUCCCUGGCCUGGGAACUUCCGCAUACCACGGAUGCAGCUAAAAAAAGAAGAAGAACCUCAAUAGAGGAGGGCAAAUGCGCAUGGAGGCACCUGGGACAAGGCUUCAGACACAGGGCAUGUUCAACGGAAGUAUUUUUAAUGGAACUGAAUCAGAGGACAAACUAGUGGGGAAGCUCUGAGCCUAAAUUCUCACUUCCAAGCUCUGUGACUUUAGAUGAAAUUACUUCAUCUCUCCACACCCUGCAGAUGUGUUCCAGUUCCAACACGAACACCAGGUAUGAGCCAGCUUGGCCUGUGCAGACAGGACCCCGCGGACACAAGAGCCACAUUUUCACCAAGGAAUAGUGGGGAGAGGGACAGAGGUGACCAGGGAGGGACGGCCCAUUUCAGAGAGUCCUUGGGUUGGGGGGGGCAGAGACGUGGGCUGCAGCUUCCCUUCGUAUGUUCUAAACUCAUGGAAAUGUCAUCUUCCUGCCAGCGCUGCUUUCUGUGGAAAUGGAGUGAUUUUGCUAUUCUUAGCACUGGGAAACCGGCACUGUAAACAGAUCGCAAACAAUGAGCCUUUGUCAGAAACACCCCGUUUCCUUCUGGGCCCUGACUCCUGCCACACCUGGUGAUGUGAUGUAUCAUCUCUUUUAACAAUUUGGCAUAAGAGGCAGCUGUCAAGGGGGGGAUUGUCUGAAAUUGCAGAGGCUUCCAGGAGUUGGUAAAUGGUGGGUGCUGGAGGCCUUUUAGCCCCUCG